UCCAAUCAGUGAAACUGAUCUUCCCGUGAAGAAGCGGGAAUAUACCUAUAAGACGAGAAGACCCCAUGGAGCUUUAAAUCCAACAGCACCUAUUACCCAUAUAUCUUUAUAUUUUUUUAGCAAAUGCUCGUUCGGUUUUAGGUUGGGGUGACCAUGGAGUAAAAAAUAACCUCCACGAAAAAAGGCAUAAAACCCUUAUCAAAGAGCCACAUCUCUAUGAAUUAGUAAACUAAUUUCUGAUGAUCCGAUAUUCGAUCAACGAACCAAGUUACCCUGGGGAUAACAGCGCAAUCCGCCUUAAGAGCCCCUAUCGACAGGCGGGUUUACGACCUCGAUGUUGGAUCAGGGUAUCCCAGUGGUGCAACAGCUACUAAAGGUUCGUUUGUUCAACGAUUAAAACCCU
rnacentral:rRNA from 1 species